CCUCCUUCUCUCUGCUUCCCUUAUCUUCCCCUGCCCACAGCACCACCAUCAGCCAUAAUUAUAUGAACUAACCAACGAAGGAAUCCACCGAACCUUUCUUUCUCCUUUUUCUUUUUGUUCAUAUUUGUAUUUGACGACAACGCAAACUCGCAGCCGCCAAAUUUUACUCCGCCGUUGAAUUCUUCCUGUUCUAGUCGUCUCUCUCCGAUACUAUUUUUCUCUCUGCUCCAUCAGCAAUGGACUCUUUCUUCCCCCUGCCACUGAGAUAGGAAGACGGAGCAGAAUACUAUGGACGGCGAGGAUCCUCCCUCCUCCUCCGGAACUCCCCGCAAGACCCUUCUCCGAUCAGCCACCUGGACCUCCCGCUCGAUUUCCAACCCUAACCCUAACCCCAAUCCCCAACCCAGCCGGCCGCCCAAACCCGGCCGCCUCGCGCUCCCUCCUCCCCCACCCCUCGCCGCUUGGCCCUGCCCCGCCUCCGACGACUCCGGCCACUGGCCCGCCACGCCCUCCGCCUCCUCCACUCCUGCCGCUGCUGCCUCUGCUGCUGCGGACGACGGCGACGGCGACGUCUCCCGCGUUGACGACCACGUCUACCUGGGUGGCGACUCGGUGGCACGUGACCGCGCGGCCCUCCGCCGCCACGGCAUCACCCACGUGCUCAACUGCGCCGGCGCCGCCUGCCCCGACCACUUCCGCGGCGAGCUCGCCUACCGGACGCUGUGGCUCCGCGACUCUCCCGCUGAGGACCUCGCCCCGGUCCUCUACGAUGCAUUUGACUUCCUCGAGCGCGCCCGUGCCGCCCCACGAGGCCGCGCUCUCGUCCACUGCCGCCGCGGCGCCUCCCGCUCCGCGGCCCUUGUCGUCGCCUACCUCAUGUGGCGCCGCGCCCUCCCCUUCGACGACGCCCUCCGAGCUGUCCGCGCCGUCCGCCCCUCCGUCGACCCCAACCUCGGCUUUGCCGCUCAGCUUCUCCGCUGCCAGCGCCGCGUCCACGCCCUCCCCCCGACCCCCGGCUCCGCCGCCCUCCGCGCCUACCGCAUGGCCCCCCAGUCCCCCUAUGAUCCCCUCUACCUCGUCCCCAAGUCCGUCGACCUCAGCUGCACCGACGGCGCAGGCAUCCUCGAUUCCCGAGGCGCGUUCGUCGUCCACGUGCCCUCCGCCAUUUACGUCUGGCUCGGCCACUGCUGCGGACCCUCCAUGGCCACCGCUGCCGCCACCGCCGCGCUCCAGGUCGUCCGCUACGAGCGUGCCGAGGGUCCUAUCAUCACCGUCAACGAGGGUUCCGAGCCUGCAGCAUUCUGGGCCGCCCUCACUGACGAGCCCCUAUCCGCCGUUCCGGAAGAGAUCGUUGGAAAUAGGAGAGUGGAGCUUUAUGAUCUCGACUACGACAUCUUCCGCAGGGCUACGGCGAGAGCUAGAGCGGCACCACCACUCUCGAAGAUGUGGACAGGUCCCGAGACGAUAACCCCUGUGAAGGAUAGUGGUUGGUGCCGCUUGAGGCGCAAGUUCGCAAGCAGGGACUGGAAGGAUAUAAUAAAGGCAGUGGUGGAGCGCAGGAGUCUUAGAGAGGAGGAUCUGCGGGCAAGCAAUGCAGUUCGAUCUCCAGGGUCGUUCUCGGUUGAGUCGAGCACCACACCAUCAUCCUCGUCAGCUGAUUCUGCUUCGGUUCUGUCUACCUUCUCACCAAACUCGUCAUCUUCCUCAGAUUGGAACAAUUUGUCACCGCCAAGGUCGGAAUUGCAUAGGGCAUCACAAACUGAGCUGAAUCCGGAGUUGCAAUCUUCAAGUUCUGGAAAUGUGAAGGGGAAGGAUUUGCGAUCAUUAGCUGAACGCAGGGGUGGCAAUGCUCCUUCUCUGUUUCUAGUGCCAUCAGCCGGUGAUACUGAAGGAAGGCUCUCUUCAACAGAUAUUGUGAGGGACUGGUGCCUGUCUCCUCCUUUUAUUUCUGAAGUGGAAGAAUACCAAGAAACAUUUGAUUUAGAGCGACGACUCUCAUUAGGUGCUUCUGAUCCGGACGAUGCAGCAGAAGAUGAAACUUAUUGUGCUGAUGAGCAUAACCAAUUAAUUCAUCCGGUUCUUUUUAGGUGGCCAGAUAUGGAUAAAGUGGAAGAUGUUCACCCUGGUGUCCUCGACUCUGAAUCAAUAUUCUUGUUGUUAGCAUCAGAAUCAAAAUUGGGUUCAAGAAAACCAAUGAUGAAGAAAAUAUAUGUGUGGUUAGGACGAGAUAGUAGGAAUGAAGUUGGUAGAGGGAAUGAAGAAGAUGGGCAUAUAUAUUUGGAUAGGGCUGGCACUGAGUUUUUUGGUCGCAUGGGUACUCCAAUGGAUACUCCUGUACAGAUAAUUCGAGAAGGCCAGGAACCAGAGCAGUUUUUGAAUCACAUCUUUUCAUUCCACCAGGCUACAGAAAGCAGUCAUAGCUGAGGAUAACUGAGAACUACUAGGAAAGAUCCAACUUUCCUUUCAAGCAUGCCCAACUCACUAAUCCUUAAGGAAGUUACUAACAAGAUAUGUCACUUAGUGGAACUGCUGCUUCAACGUUGACUAAGCAAGGUAUGCAUACUUCCUCCCAUGGUCACUCUGCUAGUGGAAACCUGGUUGAGCCAAAGAUAGCAGUGUCGGGAGUUCUUUUCAGUUCCUAUGGAUCCUAUUCCUCCCUGCCUUGAAUUAGAUUUCUGCUGUCACAUUCCAGAUUUAGUCCCAAAUUGAGUUGCUGUUAUAGGAGUAGGUGGAUUUAGUUUCUACCAUAUUAACUCUACUGCACAUUGUGUGUCAGACUAACAUUGGAAAGUUCAUGCGGUUUUUCUCCGCAAACCAAAAUACACUAGAGAAGUUCAUCAAUAA